CUCUUAUCAAGAGUGGCGGAGGGAUCAGGCCCUGUGAAGCCCGGCAACAGCUAGUUGAACCUAGAAAUGUGCUAAUUCCUGCAGUGGAUUCACUGAGAGAUGAGGG
rnacentral:ncRNA from 19 species